AAGCUUUUAUAAAAAUUCAUUCGAGACCAGAGGCUCCCUCAAAGGCCCAAAGAAUUGCCUUUAUAGUAAGAAGGCUCACUUUCAUCAUCAGUGAAUUAAAAUCCUUUAAUACCUCAAAAAGCAAUGCUAGUGCCAAUGACCUCAAUCAAACCUUAAGCAAGGUAGAAAGCGCAUCAGUAACGAGGAUGAAUAGCACCUAUAAAAGUGGGUCACCUUGUCUUAAACCUUGUUUGCAAUUGAUCCAAUUACCUAGCUUUCUAUUUACAAAUAUGGCUACCUUGGAAGAA
rnacentral:lncRNA from 1 species